rnacentral:tmRNA from 1 species
GGGGGUGACAGGCUUCGACAGGGGAGGCUGUGCCCAGACUGCAAGCCGAGGCGCUCUACCCUCGUUAAUCCAGAGCACACUAAUAAGUGCCAACGAAAGCACACCCCGUCUCGCUCUGGCCGCGUAAAGCAGCCAGACAGACACAGGUCACCCGAGGGUGACCCGUCUGCCCUGACCGUCCCUGCUCGGGCGGCAAGCAGGCGUCACAAAUAGCAGGGUGCCCCGCUGCGAUGUCGAUAAACAGCGGCUAAGAAACUAUCGACUCGCCCGUGGCACGCCCCAGUUGGCUCGGGUUCCCACGGCGCUAAAACAAAGAGCUGACUAAGCUUGUAGAUGUCUGUUCACGAAUCCUUUGGACCCGGGUUCAAUUCCCGGCACCUCCACUG